rnacentral:rRNA from 1 species
AUUGAACGCUGGCGGCAGGCUUAACACAUGCAAGUCGAGCGGGGAAAGGUAGCUUGCUACCUGACCUAGCGGCGGACGGGUGAGUAAUGCUUAGGAAUCUGCCUAUUAGUGGGGGACAACAUUCCGAAAGGAAUGCUAAUACCGCAUACGCCCUACGGGGGAAAGCAGGGGAUCUUCGGACCUUGCGCUAAUAGAUGAGCCUAAGUCAGAUUAGCUAGUUGGUGGGGUAAAGGCCUACCAAGGCGACGAUCUGUAGCGGGUCUGAGAGGAUGAUCCGCCACACUGGGACUGAGACACGGCCCAGACUCCUACGGGAGGCAGCAGUGGGGAAUAUUGGACAAUGGGGGGAACCCUGAUCCAGCCAUGCCGCGUGUGUGAAGAAGGCCUUUUGGUUGUAAAGCACUUUAAGCGAGGAGGAGGCUCCUGUAGAUAAUACCUACAGUGAGUGGACGUUACUCGCAGAAUAAGCACCGGCUAACUCUGUGCCAGCAGCCGCGGUAA